AGCUGUAGCUGAUGAUCUGUUGAAACAUUGGGAAUCUCUCUGAGUCAGAGUGAAAGAGAACUGUUUUCUGAUGCAGAG